GAGGUGGCGCCCCUCACGCCCCCUGCGGAGGGGCUGGGUCGGCGUUGAGUCCCACCGCGUUGGGCGGUGACUGGAGAGUGGAGCUCCUUCUCUGAGCCGUCAGAAGAGGCUUCGAGAGCUGGCGGCCACCACCGCGUUUUUGAGAGGGCCCGGAGAAAGCUCACGCUGUUCUGUCUGCGGAGCUUCACGUUCUCCUAAGAAGUGAUCAAUGUGUCUGACUUAAGCCCGUUUCUGGGAAAGCACGUAGGAGCGGCCUGUACCAGAUGGAAAGUAAAAGUUAACUGAGGAGGGAAGGGAUACAGAUCAAUCUAACGUAGCUUUCCGGCUGGUAGCUCUUACCUACAGUUUAGUGAUGCGACCUGACGGGACUGGGUGGCGAGGCCGCGUAGCAAAAUGAACGAUGUAUGUUUUGCACAGGUUAAAGAAAGUUUCUGACGAACCUGAAAUGAGACGGAAUCAGAAGUGACGCAUUAUUUAUUGGAACAACAUGCUGUUAGGGGAAAAUGGAAGGAGGGAAAAAAAACAAUGCGAAAACCCUGGAGUUGAUCACCUGCGAGAACCGUGGUACAAAGGACUUAAGAAAAAGGAAUCAGGGGAAAACCUGGACCCAGAGAGAUGAGAGAACUUAUCCCAUGAAUGAAAUACAGGUUGCUUACAUUGGGGGAAGCCAGCUGCUAUGUCAUGCGGCAGCCCCGUGGAGAAGCCACCAUGAGUGAGCUUGGAAGUAGAUCUUCUGGGGUCCACCAAAAGCCAUGUGAAUGAGCUUGGCAGUAGAGCCACCUCCAGUUGAACCUCAAGGUGACUGCAGCCUUUGCCAACAUCUUGAUUGUAGCCUGGUGAGAAAUCCUGAGCAAGAACCAUCCAGCAGAGGAAACUGAGCCGUAAGCCACAAUGUGCAGGUGGACAUCAAAGAGCCAGUCAGCCCAGGUCACGUGUCCUUCAGCCUGCCUGACUCCAGCGUGGGACCAUCCCAAUAAAUCCACAUUGCUAACUGAGACGACCGCCAAAAAGCACCCUCCUCUGCCUUUCUCCCUCCUCCUCUGGAAGCCAAUCCUCCUCACGGAGCCA